AGAUGUUGGGAGCGGAGGGGAUAACGUGUGAGAAAUCAGACUGCCUCAUAAAGCGCAAUGUGCUGUCGUGCAGGGUGUUGUUGGCCUGUGUGUUCUUUGACCGACAGCUCACCGGCAGCGUCAGGCGAGCAGACCUUCACAACCUCUUACUGUCACUAGGGCUGUGGCUCACACCCACCAAAGUGCAGGAGUUGUUGAAUAAGUAACCAUGGUCUGUUACGUGGAGCUCCAGUGAAGGAGAAGGUGUGUGGCCGGAGGUCUGGAAGGUCAAGGGGGGCAACAACAAGUGUGGGGGCUGAGAUGGUGUCCUACAUCCCCAGCCUGCUACAGGCCCUGGAGGCAGCAGACGAGACAACGCAAGCCCUGAGCCUACGCAUCGCAGCCAUACAGGACACACUGGUGGAGGCUGCAGCUGUCACUAAUAUGCUACUAUGGCUCUAAUUUGCUAGCCAGGAAGGUCUUAGUCGCAGACUGGAGAAGGCGGCGCUUCAACGCUCGUCCUAUAUGAAGCUGAAGGAGGACGCUGGUCACAUGAUCGCCCUCAUCCACAAGAUACAGAAAAUGGUGGAAAAGACGGCAAGAAUGACCCAAUCAAAAACAGAGACGGAGGAUGAAGAUCACUGAUUGGUCGGAGCAGAACAGAAUGAGCGAGUGACUACACACACAUAAAUACAUUAUGUAUUUCUCUUUCCAGACUGUCACCACACAGGAGACCAUUUCAACACUAGAGCCAAAUUAUAAAAUGAAUGAAAUGUUACUUAUUUCUCAACUUACUCCCUAAUUCUGAACA